rnacentral:rRNA from 1 species
CCUACGGGGGGCAGCAGUGAGGAAUAUUGGUCAAUGGACGAGAGUCUGAACCAGCCAAGUAGCGUGAAGGAUGACUGCCCUAUGGGUUGUAAACUUCUUUUAUAUGGGAAUAAAACGUUCCACGUGUGGGAUUUUGUAUGUACCAUAUGAAUAAGGAUCGGCUAACUCCGUGCCAGCAGCCGCGGUAAUACGGAGGAUCCGAGCGUUAUCCGGAUUUAUUGGGUUUAAAGGGAGCGUAGGUGGAUUGUUAAGUCAGUUGUGAAAGUUUGCGGCUCAACCGUAAAAUUGCAGUUGAAACUGGCAGUCUUGAGUACAGUAGAGGUGGGCGGAAUUCGUGGUGUAGCGGUGAAAUGCUUAGAUAUCACGAAGAACUCCGAGUGCGAAGGCAGUUCACUGGACUGCAACUGACACUGAGGCUCGAAAGUGUGGGUAUCAAACAGGAUUAGAUACCCCGGUAGUC